ensembl:snRNA U6 U6 spliceosomal RNA
GUGCUCACUUGGCAGCACAUAUAAUGAAGUAGGAAUGAUACAGAGAAGAUUAGCAUGAUUCCUGCACAAGGAUGACACACACAUUUGUGAAACAUUCCAUAUUUUA